CUGUUCCUACGGGAGGCAGCAGUCGGGAAUAUUGCGCAAUGGAGGAAACUCUGACGCAGUGACGCCGCGUAUAGGAAGAAGGUCUUCGGAUUGUAAACUAUUGUCAUUAGGGAAGAGAAAGGACAGUACCUAAAGAGGAAGCUCCGGCUAACUACGUGCCAGCAGCCGCGGUAAUACGGAGGAUGCGAGCGUUAUCCGGAUUUAUUGGGUUUAAAGGGUGCGUAGGCGGUCCGUUAAGUCAGCGGUAAAAUUGCGGGGCUCAACCCCGUCGAGCCGUUGAAACUGGCAGACUUGAGUUGGCGAGA
rnacentral:rRNA from 1 species